CAGUAGCCGCGGUAACACCGAGGGUGCGAGCGUUAAUCGGAUUUACUGGGCGUAAAGCGUGCGUAGGCGGCUUCUUAAGUCGGAUGUGAAAUCCCUGAGCUUAACUUAGGAAUUGCAUUCGAUACUGGGAAGCUAGAGUAUGGGAGAGGAUGGUAGAAUUCCAGGUGUAGCGGUGAAAUGCGUAGAGAUCUGGAGGAAUACCGAUGGCGAAGGCAGCCAUCUGGCCUAAUACUGACGCUGAGGUACGAAAGCAUGGGGAGCAAACAGGAUUAGAUACCCCAGUAGUCCCUGUCUCUUAUAC
rnacentral:rRNA from 1 species